AAAAAAAAAAAAAAAAAAAAAAAAAAAAAAAAGUGACUCCUAAGUUAGUAAAGGCCUAAGAUUGAAAUUCUGUUCAUAAAUCAUGCUAGGUAAGGCAGUUCAUAUAUGUGCCCCAAAAGUAUAACCAUCUUUUUCUUUAGAAAAUAAUUAUUCUUAAAAUUGACAAAACAAUAGAUUGAUGAAGGUUCAACUUCAGGUGACAGAUAAAUUUCAAGUUUAAUUAAGCCCUACCCAUUCAUUCAACUUGACUUCUUGAACAUUUGCCAGUGUUCAAUUUGGCAAAUGCUUCCAAAUGGUGGCAGCACAAACUUCAAUGGCAAAGGCUGCACAUGGUGUCAGUUUACUAAAUCUCUAGCCCAAAAAGCCUCAGAAAAUAUUUAGAAGUCUCUUCCUUUUUCAUUAGUGAUAAUUUUCAGAAGAUGGACUUUGCCAUCUGAUUUUCACAUUAAACUAGGUCUCUCCCAGGGUCUAAAUUGUCAUAACUAAGACAUGUUAAUUACUACAAUUAAAUAUUUAAUUAUAGGCAGCAUGAUGUCCUGGAAGAAUGAGGAUUUUGAGAUCAAGCUUGCAUGGUUUCUAAACCUCUCCCACAGUUUUUUAGCUACAUAACUUUAGCAAGUUCUUAACUUGUUUGAACCCUAAUUUCCUUAUGCAUGGAGAGAGGAUACCACAGGUAUUUCUGGGAGCCUUGUCUCAGAGAUUAAAUAGAGUUGAUGAAAUUUAACUGCCUAGCAUCCAGUAAGAAUUUUACAGAUGCUAGGUUCUUUCUGCUGUCUCCCAACAUAAUUAGGAAAGUGGCUUUCUUUAAAAUAACCAAUAAGCUUAGAUAGAACAAUAGACCUAUGCAAUCAUGAACUCCCUCUCCUUUUUAAGAGAAUAUUGGAUGCGUUUUAAUGUAAGAUUAAAAAGUGAUUAUUUUUUCCUAUCCAGUUACCUAAUGUGAAUUAAAUCAUUCAGAUAAGUCUUCAAAUGCAGAACAUGGUAAUUUCUUAAGGGACUGAGACAAGGAGGUAUGAGAUGAGAUUCUCACUGCUCAGGAGAGGAGAAAUGGCCACAGAUCCCAUCAGGCCAUUGCUUGUAGCUGCUUGCAGGACCUCCCACAUAACAGAAGAAAGGGAAGCUGAGAGAGCCAGUCGGGAAUCCUAGAUCCCGUUACAGCAUUGCCUCAGCUAAUCCAUGAUGUGAAAAGAUUGUGUUUUAAAAGAAGCAUAUUAAAAAAGAAAAAAAAACAAAACAGGAGGGACUCUUAAAUAACAAGCCCUUGAUUGACUAAUUAUCCUGAAUGCCCUCACUUUCAUUGGAAUUCACUGCUUUGUUGGUGUGGAGGUGCAAAGAGGCCAACUAUCAAAGGAAGGCGCCACUUAUCUAAACAAAAUCCAGGAACAGAAUUUGAGACCCUUGUUUCUCAGACCAAGAUUGUUUUCUCAGUAUAAGAUAUUUCAUCUUCGCUUUUGAUAGAAUUAUGAUUCUUGGGAAAUUUUUACAUGGAAAAAAUGCCUCAGAAUAAACACCAAGUGUUUCAAAAUAACUACAGGAAGUCCAAGCCACGACAAAAUUUAAAUCUCUAUUUAUGAGAUGAAGGUAUUAAUUCCCUUAUUCAUUCAGUCACCAAACACUUCUUUUUUAAACAUUUUUCUUUAUGUCUCAUGGAUUAGACCCUAGGCAUUAGUGAAUUAAUGCAAGAGCUUUGAAAGUUUCCAUUUAGCUGCAAUGGAAAAGAAGUCUCUAAACUAGAUGCAGCUAAUUUGAAAUUCUUGUCUCCUUUUUUUCUUCUGAUUAAAAAAUAAAAUGCAUUUACCAGUACUGUUGGAAAAAAAAAACACACACCUAGAAAAGAGACGCUGGACCUUCUCCACUAAUCCUCCUUUUCCCUUAGGAUUGCCAUCACUGAUUGGGGUUGACUUUGGGUAUGGAAAGAACACAGAACUUGGAGUCAGAAGACCUGGUUGGAUCUCAGCUUAGGCACCUAGUAGAUGUAUGACCUAGGUUAAGUCAUUAACCUCUCUGGUUUUUUAAGAUGUGAUAGAGGUUGGAAAGCAGGUAACAAUAUCUACCCUACUGUAUCAUUUUGAAGAUUAACUAGGAUAAUGAUGUGAAGCUUUGUCAGUUGGAAAGUAUCAGCAGAAAUUUAGCCAACACGAGCUCACUCCUUUUGGAUAUCCCGAUGUGUGAAUAGGCCAUUUAGCACGGGAGAAAUCAGAAUGCCUGGGACAUACAUGUUUGGUGAAUGAAUGAAGGAAGGAAAGAUGAUGGCAGAACUUACUAAGACCCAGAUGUGUUCUUGUUUUCUAACUUUAUCCAGGAAAAUAAACAGCAAAAGAUUUAGCAAAUCUUAUAAUUUCUUAGUGGGUUAUAACCAUGAGCUAUUAAUUUUGACACCUAAGAAAAAUCUUACCUCCUCCCUUUAUUUCAGCUUGUGAGGAUAUGUCACUAAUUGGCUUCAUUAAUUUGAUUCAAAAUGUGCACUAGAAGUGGGAUAGAAACACAAGAAGUAUACCAGAAAUAAAUUAUACUUGGAAAAAAAAAAAACCUGAAAGCAGUGGGAAGUAGACAAAGGGAUCCAAACUCAA